GGAAGCCACUUCGGUGGCAGGGAGACAGGUGGUGCAUGGUUGUCGUCAGCUCGUGUCGUGAGAUGUUGGGUUAAGUCCCGCAACGAGCGCAACCCUUAUUGUUAGUUGCUACCAUUUAGUUGAGCACUCUAGCGAGACUGCCCGGGUUAACCGGGAGGAAGGUGGGGAUGACGUCAAAUCAUCAUGCCCCUUAUGUCUAGGGCUACACACGUGCUACAAUGGUCGGUACAAUGAGAUGCAACCUCGCGAGAGUGAGCAAAACUAUAAAACCGAUCUCAGUUCGGAUUGUAGGCUGAAACUCGCCUACAUGAAGCUGGAGUUGCUAGUAAUCGCGAAUCAGAAUGUCGCGGUGAAUACGUUCCCGGGCCUUGUACACACCGCCCGUCACACCAUGAGAGUUGGCAAUACCCAAAGUUCGUGAGCUAACGCGUAAGCGAGGCAGCGACCUAAGGUAGGGUCAGCGAUUGGGGUGAAGUCGUAACAAGGUAGCCGUAGGAGAAC
rnacentral:rRNA from 1 species